UCAAAAAGAACAAUUGUGGGAUGGAAAUGGUGACAGUAAAAUAUGCAGUGUUGAUGCAGGAGCAGGGAAAGGUGACGCUGAUUUUGCUGGGCCAGUUUUCUGGAAAUAGUUUGAAGAUACCGACUCAUGGUCAAAUGUUUCACGUUUACCCUCAGAAAUGAGUGCUACUGUUCAGAAACGGAGGUGCCCACUUUGCUUGUGGGAUUUAGGAGGAAAUGCCACACACUGUUACAGAAAAAAUGGUGUCUCGCUCUAUUGCCCAGGCUAGAGUACAAUAGUGCAAUCUUGGUUCACUGCAACCUCCCCCUCCCAGGUUCAAGCCAUUCUCCUGCCUCAGCCUCCCGAGUAGCUAGAACUACAAGCACAUGCACCAUACCCAGCUAAUUUUUUGUAUUUUUAGUAGAGACAGGGUUUCUCCAUGUUGGCCAGGCUGGUCUCGAACUCCUGACCUCAGGUGAUCCACCGCCUCAUCCUCCCAAAAUGCAUUAUCUCCUCCCAAAAUGCAUUAUCUAUUUCAUUAAGAAAAAGGAAAAAGCUACCAUGCUAAGCUUCAAAUAAAAGCAUGUGCGCACACCUGAUGAUGCUAGACCCACUGGAAUCUCGCAUAACUCAUCCUGAACAGGUUGGGAAUCAAGUCUCUCAGGAUUAGCCCUGGUAAUCUGAAAGUCACCAGUCAUCAAGAAGUGGCAUCUCUACCAUGUGGUGCAAUCACAGCCCUGAACUCAAAUUUCUGUCUGAUAUAUUUGAUGUGAUCCCUCCUUUUAUAUCCUUUUAACUUCUGCUUGGAGAGACCCACUGACCUUGUAGCUAACUGUCAUAACUUUUCCUUGCCAGGCCAGCAAUAAAUUUGGCA